rnacentral:rRNA from 1 species
AUACGUAGGGUGCGAGCGUUAAUCGGAAUUACUGGGCGUAAAGCGUGCGCAGGCGGUUUUGUAAGUCAGAUGUGAAAUCCCCGGGCUCAACCUGGGAACUGCGUUUGAAACUACAAGGCUAGAGUAUGGGAGAGGGGGGUAGAAUUCCACGUGUAGCAGUGAAAUGCGUAGAGAUGUGGAGGAAUACCAAUGGCGAAGGCAGCCCCCUGGCCUAAUACUGACGCUCAUGCACGAAAGCGUGGGGAGCAAACAGGAUUAGAUACCCUGGUAGUCCACGCCCUAAACGAUGUCAACUAGUUGUUGGUGGAGUAAAAUCCAUUAGUAACGCAGCUAACGCGUGAAGUUGACCGCCUGGGGAGUACGGUCGCAAGAUUAAA